GUGCCAGCAGCCGCGGUAAUACGGAGGAUCCAAGCGUUAUCCGGAUUUAUUGGGUUUAAAGGGUGCGUAAGCGGGUAAUCAAGUCAGCGGUGAAAGUUUGCGGCUCAACCGUAAAAUUGCCGUUGAAACUGGUUACCUUGAGUGUAGAUGAGGUGGGUGGAAUUCGUGGUGUAGCGGUGAAAUGCUUAGAUAUCACGAAGAACUCCAAUUGCGUAGGCAGCUCACUGGGCUACAACUGACGCUGAGGCACGAAGGUGCGGGGAUCAAACAGGAUUAGAUACCCUGGUAGUCCGCACAGUAAACGAUGAAUGCUAGCUGUUGGCGAUACACAGUCAGUGGCACAGCGAAAGCGUUAAGCAUUCCACCUGGGGAGUACGCCGGCAACGGUGAAACUCAAAGGAAUUGACGGGGGCCCGCACAAGCGGAGGAACAUGUGGUUUAAUUCGAUGAUACGCGAGGAACCUUACCCGGGCUUGAAUUGCAUCUGAAUAUGCCGGAAACGGUAUAGCUAGCAAUAGCAGAUGUGAAGGUGCUGCAUGGUUGUCGUCAGCUCGUGCCGUGAGGUGUCGGCUUAAGUGCCAUAACGAGCGCAACCCUCAUCAUUAGUUACUAACAGGUAGUGCUGAGGACUCUAAUGAGACUGCCGGCGUAAGCUGUGAGGAAGGUGGGGAUGACGUCAAAUCAGCACGGCCCUUACGUCCGGGGCGACACACGUGUUACAAUGGGGGGGACAGCAGGCUGCGAAGUGGUGACACCGAGCGAAUCCUCAAACCCUCUCUCAGUUCGGAUCGAAGUCUGCAACCCGACUUCGUGAAGCUGGAUUCGCUAGUAAUCGCGCAUCAGCCAUGGCGCGGUGAAUACGUUCCCGGGCCUUGUACACACCGCCCGUCAAGCCAUGGGAGUUGGGGGUGCCUGAAGUGCGUGACCGCAAGGAGCGUCCUAGGGCAAAACCGAUGACUGGGGCUAAGUCGUAACAAGGUAGCC
rnacentral:rRNA from 1 species